GCCUAAAAUGCAGCCUAUCUUAAAUCCUAUGUACACCACAACUAAAUACCUUUUAAUAAAACAUUUUUCUAGUUUAGUACAGGCGAUCAAAAGACUUAUUAGCGCUUCAUCCAUAGUACCGCAAGGGAAAAAUGAAAUAGCUAUGAAAUAGACCUAAAGCACAACACAGCAGAGCUUACUUCUCG
rnacentral:rRNA from 1 species